UGUUAGUAGCAUGGUGGGGUUCAGGAAACGUGUUGAGGGGGUCAGAGCAAUAAGAUUUUACUCACAAGCGUUAAAUUAUCCAGUUUUUGUAUUAAAUUUAUCUAGAUGCUGUUGACAGCUACUUAGCUUGUUUACGCUACUAGUUUAAGCUCCUUUUUUUCACAACGUUUCGUUUAGCAACUUUAGCUGAAACUGUGAACACGUGGAGAGGCUCGAUAGUCCGCUGGGUGAGUGUGUCUUCAAUUAAAUGAUCAAUUACUCUAGUUUUUAUCGUUUGCGUGUUUCAAACAUCACCAUCGAUCCUCUUGAUGGGGUUAACCCACCGCUGGCAGACACGUGGCGAGGAAUAGUCCUGUUGUUCAAGCGAUACGCCAGACCCCGGUUCGAAUAUUGGUGAUUGUUAAAUUCUCGAAAAUUUAGGAAUGAUCCGAACACGAUAGAAUAUCUUCUGAAGUCAAAACAAUGUUUAUUUUAAUUCGGCGUAUAUUCUAUAACAUGAAUUUGAUUUUUGUGCAUUAUUUCGGUGUAUACAUGUAUCCCAGUGUUUGUGUAAUUCCACAAACGCUUAGACUAUUGCACAAACAAAUUUCACUUUUGUUUUGUCUCUGUGUUUGUUUUAAAGGUAAAAUGUCGAAUCUUCAUUGUGAACAUCUAAAAAUCUAAAUGCAUCUUCUUACAGGCCUCCUGAACAAAAUGUGUUCCAGUGACUGAGCUCGUGGCCUCACAUGGUCGACCUGCUGAUGUCACCGCAGAGCUUCUGUUUCGAGUCAACUACCACAAUUACUAAAAGGGUUUGUCUUUGUUUGUUUUAUUAUUAAAAAAAACUUCACAAUAAAAUAAGUUGUGGAAUAAA